rnacentral:rRNA from 1 species
CCGAGUUGUAAUUUGCAGAGGAUGCUUUGGGUGCGGUGCCUUCCGAGUUCCCUGGAACGGGACGCCUUAGAGGGUGAGAGCCCCGUACGGUUGGACACCAAGCCUCUGUAAAGCUCCUUCGACGAGUCGAGUAGUUUGGGAAUGCUGCUCUAAAUGGGAGGUAAAUUUCUUCUAAAGCUAAAUAUUGGCCAGAGACCGAUAGCGCACAAGUAGAGUGAUCGAAAGAUGAAAAGCACUUUGAAAAGAGGGUUAAAUAGCACGUGAAAUUGUUGAAAGGGAAGCGUUUGCGACCAGACCUUUUCCCAGCGGAUCAUCCGGUGUUCUCACCGGUGCACUUCGCUGGGUUGAGGCCAGCAUCGGUUUCCGCAGGGGGAUAA